rnacentral:rRNA from 1 species
CAAGUUAAUAAGAGCUAUUGGCGGAUGCCUUGGCAUUGACAGGCGAUGAAGGAUGUGUUUACCUGCAUUAAUCUUCGGUGAGCUGGUAUAAAGCUAUGACCCGGAGGUGUCCGAAUGGGGCAACCCGAUAGAUUAAUAUUCUAUCAUUAUAUGUUGAAUUCAUAGACAUAUAAAGCAACACCUACUGAACUGAAACAUCUUAGUAAGUAGAGGAAAAGAAAUCAAAGAGAUUCCCUGUGUAGCGGCGAGCGAAAGGGGAACAGUCUAAACCACAUUUUAAUGUGGGGUUGUAGGGUCGAUAACACGAGAUCUUAAGUUUUAGUUGAAUACUUCUGGAAAGUAGAACGAUACAGGGUGAUAGUCCCGUAAACGAAAAGACAAGAGACUCUAAUCGAUACCUGAGUAGGGCUAGACACGUGAAACCUAGUCCGAAUCUGGGGAGACCACUCUCCAAGACUAAAUACUAGUCAAUGACCUAUAGUGAACCAGUACUGUGAAGGAAAGGUGAAAAGAACCCUUGUUAAGGGAGUGAAAUAGAACCUGAAACCAAUAGCUUAUAAGCGGUCGGAGACCUAUAACUUUUCGAAGUAAUGGUUGACGGCGUGCCUUU